AUAAACCUAACACUUUCAACUUUAUACUUGGUCGAGAUAAUCACGAAUCUCCGACUGGGACAAUCGACAAAAAUGUCCGCCUGGUACGCCAACGAUUCCACUAUCCGUAGGUUUCGUAGAGACUACUGCGAUCUCGAUGUUAUCUUCAGUUAAUUCACCCUCAAAAGUUUCUUUUAAAGCUAAAAUAGCUGUAUGCACGGCAUCAUCCAACUCAAGUUCAUCAUUGUAACGCUUUUCUAAAAAUGUUUUAGCAGCUGUAGAUGAUUUGCCGAUAGCUGUGGCUUUCCAAGCAAAAUAGGUGCCCGAAGGAUCAACUUGAUAGAGAGAAGGACCUUUUUCAUCCAUUCCUGCAACCAAGAGACUAACACCAAACGGACGAACACCACUAAAUAAUGAAGUUAGCUUAAAGUAGAGUAAAAAAAAAACAGAAUAAUGAAGAUGAGAGAAACAAAUUUACUUAAACAAUGUU